GUAGGAAGUAAGUGAUGGUCAGUAAAGUUGACAGCAUUGACACUCAUGAUGAGGCUGAUAUAUCAGUUAUAUCUUACAUGUUAGAUGUUGUCAGACAUGGGGCUUCAACUGUUCGCAUUCUUAGUGAUGACACAGAUGUCUUUGUGAUUAUGGUUUAUUGGUGUUGGAAGGCUGGUAUCACAACUAACCUACAGAUGGAAAAAUGGAAUGGCACUGUUCUCAGCAUAAAUGCAACUGCAAAGAACCUGGGUGACCAUUGUUGUUCCAUUCUGGCCAUGCAUGCUCUUUCAGGAUGUGAUACCACCUCAUAUCCUGUUGGGAAGGGGAAGGUAUCUGCACUCAAGGCCAUGACAGUUGUACCUGGCAAGCUUCUCCACUGUAUUGGAGAGGCAGAAGCCACAGAUUUACAGAUCACCAAAGCAACAAGGACUUUCUUUCUGGCUCUGUACAAUCAGAGGAACUCUCUGACCUUGGAUGCAGCUCAGUAUGACAUUUACCGAAAGCGCAAAAGGCCCCCAGCACUGAAAACACUACCUCCUACAGAGCGUAAUAUGCACCUUCAUGGAAGACGUGCCCACCUACAGGUGCUCUUAUGGAAAGCAGCAGACCAGGCUGAUCCACCGGCUGUGGAUAUCACUUUGUUUGGAUGGGACAAGAAGAUGGGCCUAAAGGAAGGAGAGGAACUGAUUAUGCCCACCCAGGAUUCAAGUCCAGUUGCUCCUCUGGCUUUGUUAGAUGUCGUCAGCUGUGGUUGCAGAGCCGGGUUGAAACCUUGCACAUCAGCAAAGUGUAGCUGUGCAGCUGCAGGUCUGGCCUGUACCAGUUAUUGUUCCUGCAAAGGCAAUGAUGGGAUAUGCUGCAACAUACUCACUCAACAGCAAGAACACAAAGAGAGUGAUGAAGGAUCUGGAGAAGAUGAUGACAGAACAGACGAGGAUAGUGAAGAUGAGGAGGCUGCCUUUUGUUGAUUAAUUGUGAGGCAUAGCCGUUUGCCUGAAGCCAGUUUGUGCUUUUUUGUGGUGCAGAGGUGAGGCCCUCUUGAUUAGUCUUGCGUCUGGCGGGCUGACCCGGUUGCCCAGACUCAGUUUUAACUUUUGCGUC
rnacentral:lncRNA from 1 species